rnacentral:rRNA from 1 species
GGAGGGGUGAGGCAGGCGGCGGCCUGCGGGCGGCGGAGGUGGCUCCGCUUUGGAUGCAGGGCGGCGGCGGCGGAGUGCGGCUUAUUCAUCGGUUCGAAAUGUAGCCGUUCUACCACGUCAUAUUAAAGUUCUUUUAGUGACAACAGGGAGGACCCUUCCUGAAGUAACUGUAUUAGAACAGGGCGUGAGUCUCCGUUUGUGGUUGACAACAGGUGUUCCCGAUACGAUAGUUGGCGUAAGCGGUCAAGAUAUACGCGUUCCAAGCGAUAUGGGUCGUCUUGAAGAUACUUUUCGACAGGUGGUAGUAGCUACUCAAGGGGUCUGACCUACUGUAGGUGGGAAAGAUACCGCUAGAGGAAGUACACGAGAUGUUGUUCCUAGUGAUGUUUGAACGGAACCCAGUCUAGUUAUGUCGAUCUUUAUAGUAACGUUUCUAGAGGUUCCUGAUAGACUCCGACGAGUUCAUACCUCUGUGGGACAUGGCCACGUUCACGGACUUCCAUCGACGUGAUCCAGCGUACACAUGACAAGAUUUCGCAUAGUCAGGAUCAAACCGUAUGGACCUCGUCUAGUCCGUCGUGUACCGGUCGAGAAAGUACUUGUUCCAAUGCUCCCGACUACACCUGCAUGUCGGAAUACGAAAGUGUUGUUUUAGGGAAAAACAACCGGUACGUCUAAUGUUCAUAGACGCCAUGGUUCACUAACUGUGAGGUCCCUAGGAACUAGCAGGAAAACUCCUGUCCUUGUAGUAUCUCUACACGUCAUAGUGGCGACAACGAGUGAACUCCCGACGACACGACAAGAAGAACCUGUAGAGACCAAGAACACCCAUGUGAUAACGAGUCGUUCGACGUGAGAAGGUGUCAUAAUUUAGGAACAAGUACUUAUUCGGAGACCAGUAACACACGUUGUUCUGACUAAACGUCGGCGAACUGCCCGAAAGACUUCUCCUGUACUUCGACCACUACCUCUACUUCAGUCUCCGAUACUUCUGAUAUGGAGUUCCACCUCUAGGAUCACUUCUCCCACAAAACAACUGAUACUCACGAAAUUGUCUACUCCCACACUACCGACAAUUUUUACGACGUACACUCUCCGAAGAACUCGUCUCCCACCUCUAGUUCUACUUCAGUUUCUUCUAGUUACUGACGUAUUUGUCCAAAGUACAACGAUACGGGUUCGGAGCACUGUUGUCUCUAUCCGGAUGAACAUAAGGAGUCCGACAAGAACUUCGAGUUCGCUAACGACGACGUUUCCUUUUCUUCUUUGAACUCUCCCUGGAACUCUUACUCUUACCUCCACGACCACAGAUAAGGCGGUCAGAGUUCUUCGUAAUGAACAACCGACUACUACUUACCUUCCUUCUAUAAGAGGGACUCUAUAACCUACCGGUAUUACAACGACUAAAGGACCUAGGCCUAUAGAACCUUUCCACACUCCUCGACCUUUCCCUCCUCCCAGAAGCAGAACUUCUUCUCCGACGAGUCCUACGAAAGUACUAACUACCGGUACUACUUAAUUGACUUCUUGUCGCUCUCUAUAACCCAUUCUAAUCCUCCUUCUUCCGUUACGAGUAGGUUCUCGUAUCCUACUUCUUCUCAUGACGUCUCUCGGCAGGAUAACAAGGUUCCUUCGUACUGUUCCUAUCCUUCAAGUGUUGGUUCUCUGACCCGUCCGUUGAGUGUAGGUACCCGCAACUAGGAUGGCGCCGACACUUGGCUGAAGCGUCGGUCAGUUCUCCGGCAUUCGCACUCUCCAGUGACUCGUCUCGACUACCACUGCUGCGAUACCUGCAACUACCGGUCGUGAGGCUGUUCUUCGACGCAUGCUCCAGCUCCAGAUCCAGGUUUAGUGCUGGUUAACUUCUCCAGCAUGGUCCACUGCCCUAGGCCCUGCAACGAGUUUUCUUCUUCCGGUAGUUCUUUAGCUCCCUGAGACAGUUCUUGUCCUUGUUCCUCCGAGCGGCACCUCUCCGCCUAGCGCAGUAGGGGUGGAACUUUGGCUUCGUAGAGAAGAGACCUUUUGCUCCUCAACCUUUCUGGGUCUCCGCUAUUUGGUCAGUUACACCUGCAACGACGAACGUUAGUGAGCUAGUCCUUGAUAACCUAGUGACGGUAAAAAGCACGACCCGUAGCCCCCUCCGAAGUCACAGUUAGACCGUCGACCUCUAUGAUGAUAGAUAACGUUAAAAUAAAAAUAGACCGUAAACGAGACACAAGGCGAAACAAACAAUCUGAUGUAACAACAACUUGAUAUACCAACAUGGAAGCCAA